AGGCGGGCUCUUUCCGCAGGACACCCAGAGAGCUGCGGCGGAGGAAAAGGGGUGGGGGCGGCGCGGCGUAGCGCGGGGCUCGGCUUGGUGGGCGCCGCCCACCAGUGUGAGCCGCGCUCGCCCGCCACCGGGACCCGGUUUCCAAAAUUGGUUUUUAAAGCUCCCUGAACGGGCUUUUCCUUGAACUUCCGGUCUCUGUGGGGCGCCCUUCCCUCCCACAGUCUCCGUACCUGGUGGUUCUUGGCGUGAUGAGACUUCCAGGACUAUGUGAAAUCAGUUAUGCAAACUGGGCCUUCGUGGAAUCAUCUGAACGAUGGCUGAGUCCCCAGACUUCAGGGCUUUGGGAUUGUCUUCCAGCUUCUUGCCUGAGCGCUGGUCAGUCUUCUCCCUGAGGUCUGCAAACUUGCAGGCAAUGUGGGCCGUGUGGCAGUCCAGGACUGGCCUUCACCUCCUUGCUGAUCUCAAAGCGUGCGCUACUGUAAGGAGGCUCCGUGAUGUCCAUCUUAUUGACUGCCACGAUGAGCUGCUUCACACCCAGCGUACAGGCCAGCAGUACAUGCUCACGGGUCUGCCCAUCCUUGGAGAUGCCAGACUCAAACUCACCUACACCACUGGCCACAAUCAGCACAGCACAGUCUGCCUGGCCCAAGUGACAGACAGAAGAAGGCCCAACUCAGACUUGGCCGGGGACACCCACUGCCCACCCCUGCAGCAGAGCCAAGACGACUCCGGUGGUACCUGUGAGGUCCCUGUGAUCAUGUUCUUGAUGAAGUCACGGUGACCUGGGGCAUCGAUGACGGUGAUGUAAUAUUUUUUGGUCUCAAACUUCCACAGGGAGAUGUCAAUGGUGAUGCCCCGUUCCCGUUCUGCCUUCAGCUUGUCCAGCACCCAGGCAUACUUGAAGGAGCCUUUGCCCACCUGGGCCGGGAGCAGGAGGGAAAGCCCCAGGGUCACCCCUAUAUCCAAAGCUGCCCAUCAACCAGGAAGGAAGUUACGAAAGGAGUUGAGAGUCAGAGGGAUGGUAACAGGACUGUGUAUGGAGAGACCUUUGAAUUUUUCAAACAACAUAAUUUAUUACUUGUAUAAUUAAGUUUGUCUUUCAGCGCUGGUUUGGGAGUCAGAGUGACCCAGGGCCAAAUGACAAAGUGCCUAGGCAAGCAUGUGGACCUGGCAGAGGGUCAGCAAGCCCUCAAAUCAGUAAUAGCGAACAUCUUUAGUUCCUGAGAUACGGCAUGGCAUCUGUGUCACACUGGUAUUUAAACCUUGGCACCAUCCUCAGGCAAGCUCUUUUACCCUUCUGAGCCUCAUUUGUCUCACCUGGAAAAUGACAGCCAUCACCUGCCUGACAUGAUUGAGAGGGAAAGCACCUACCAGCCCAGCAGGUGCUCAGCGGAAGUGAGCAGUCUCCUCCCCGACAGUGAGCCGCCUGCAUCAGCCUGACCCGUGGCAAACCCUGAGUUUGGUGAAUGAAGCAGAAUGACUGCUGCCGCCUUCAGGGCUUGACUCCUGUACGCAUCGUCACCUUUAUGCCACCGCUAACUCUACCUGAGUGCUGAGGGAACUGAGGCUCAGGAGCUGGGAAGAAAGUAGCAGGACUCAAGCUGUGUGACCGCAGAGUCUCCACCAGAACCCAGUGCUGCCUCCCAGUGAACUCAUGCCCGAAGGAAGGGAUGUGAGUCCGACCCUGCUCAUUUCUGGGGUCCCAGCCUCCAGCCCUGGCUUGCUGAAUGAAUGUUUAGGGUAGGACCUGGGAAGAAGAUGAGGGCGGGGAAGGGGGGGCAGUCUCCCACACGGAAGGGCUGGCCGCAGAAUUGAGGACAAGCUACUGGACUGUAGUCUGAGGCUAGUACAGUGCUGGCAGCCUCCAGAGGUUCUGGAACCACCCACACAUCAGUUCCUGAGGACCAGGCUCUGUGUCUGGAGACCAGAUAGAUGCAGGGAAAGGUGGCGGAGAGAAUAGGCUUCUGAGAAGGCUGACCUGAUCAGAUCGGAGUCCUGGCUAUGCGGCUCUCACUCAGUGGUCCUUGAGCCACUCAGUGGUCCUUGAGCCCCUCCGGGCCUGGGUGGCCACCAACUUCUUCGUGUUGUGGUGAUUCAAGGAGAUAAGCCCCCUCCCUCAUAAAUCUUGAUGGUACUGAUAAUUGGUCCUUUAAAGAACUUAUGACAAAGUGGAAACACACGGGGGCGCUUUAACCACAAACCACAGGUUAACAUGUUCUUAGAACCUGGGCAGUUAGUUGGGAGCUGGGGACAGCCAGAGGGCUAUUAUCACAGUACUGUGCUGAUCACACUGACCAGCUCUGGCCCUUCCUCUUCCGAUACAGGUGGUGGUAGAGAAAUGAUUUGUGAGUGGUUGGAUCAUGUAGCUAAGUUCACCUUCAUCUAAGCUUUGUUUUUCACUCAUUAUUUGGCAUCUUCGGGGUUAACAGUUCCUUAGCUAUAAGUCCCACAAGUUCCUAAGAGGCAAAGUGAGGCUCUUGGGAUCAUUGUGUUUAUCACCCAUCCCCGGACGUUCAGCUCCUGCUUCUGUGUAUCUGUGGAGCGUUGGGAAGGAAACUGGUUUUGGGAUCCAAAGACCAGGUGAGUCACCUCUGCCACUUCAUGGCUUGCUCCCCCUUCCUCCACCUCCUCUUCAUUCUCACCGGGCCAGCCUUGCUCUCCCUCUCUUCUUGCAGGACAGGGGAGCUUCCUCCCCACGCCAGCCGGUCCGCAGCAGCCCCACAAGUGUGUAUAGUCCAGAAGGUUCCCAAUGCACAGAAGGGCACUCAGGAGCCAGGUCUGAGGGACAGCCAGAGUCUAGAGACCACACAGAGU